rnacentral:rRNA from 1 species
GAUGAACGCUAGCUACAGGCUUAACACAUGCAAGUCGCGGGGCAGCAUGGGGGUUGCUUGCAAUCCCCGAUGGCGACCGGCGCACGGGUGAGUAACGCGUAUCCAACCUGCCCUUCACCACGGGAUAACCCGGCGAAAGUCGGACUAAUACCGUAUGUUGUCCAUUGACGGCAUCCGAUUUGGACGAAAGGUUUGGCGGUGAAGGAUGGGGAUGCGUCCGAUUAGCUGGACGGCGGGGUGACGGCCCACCGUGGCGACGAUCGGUAGGGGUUCUGAGAGGAAGGUCCCCCACACUGGAACUGAGACACGGUCCAGACUCCUACGGGAGGCAGCAGUGAGGAAUAUUGGUCAAUGGGCGUAAGCCUGAACCAGCCAAGUAGCGUGCAGGAUGACGGCCCUAUGGGUUGUAAACUGCUUUUAUGCGGGGAUAAAGUGGCCCACGUGUGGGUUUUUGCAGGGACCGCAGGAAUAAGGACCGGCUAAUUCCGU